UGUCCACACCCAGAAAACAACCUAUGAACAGUGUCCUCUCCACAGUUCCUGAACACACUGACUCUAAACAUGGAAUGGAACUGGAUCUUUCUCUUCCUCCUUUCAGUAACUGCAGGUGUCCACACCCAGAUUCAGCUACAGCAGCCUGGGGCUGAGUUGGUGAUGCCUGGAGCUUCAGUGAAGCUGUCCUGCAAGACUUCUGGCUACACCUUCACUGACUAUGGAAUGCACUGGGUGAAGCAGACACCCUCACAUGGCCUGGAAUGGAUUGGAGCUAUUGAUCCUGAAAGUGGUGGUACUGCCUACAAUCAGAAGUUCAAGGGCAAGGCCACACUGACUGCAGACACAUCCUCCAGCACAGCCUACAUGGAGCUCAGAACCCUGGCAUCUGAUGACUCUGUGGUCUAUUACUGUGCUAGACACAGUGUAAUAACCACAUCCUGAGUGUGUCAAAAACCC